UAUGACUUCUUCACUUCAGAAAAUGAUUACUAGUAAGUUAACCAUAGCCAUUUAUAUCUUCCCCUCUCUGGGCAGAAUUUGUUGUUAUACUCUGAUCCUUCAUUGAAAGCUCUGAAAUAAGCUUCAAGGAACAUGCACUUUCUCCAGUAGAGAAGACUUCCAGAAACCCCGUGGCAAAGGGACUGCCAAGUACUUUUAGCGAAGAAAACUAACAAGGCUAAAUACUCCCCCUCUAUUAAAUGGAAUUUAGAGAGAAAAAAAGACUGUCUUCUCUUCUAUAGAAACCUGCACACGAAGGGCACAGACAAGCACAAAAGGAAGUCCAUGUGAACACACAGAAGCAGCCAGCCAUCUCACCUGCAAACCAAGCACAGUGCUCUCAGAAGAAACCAGGUCCGCUGACACCUUAAUCUUUGACAUCUACCUUCUAGAAUUUUGAAAAAAAAAAUUAAUCCACUUGGUCUAUGGUACUUGGUUGUCUUUGUUUUGGGAGCCCCACUUAACCCACAUACUGUCUUAUUUGACACUCUGGGAUAUGAGUUUUUCUGGCUCACAUCUUGAAGUAGUCCCACUUGGGAAUCCUGUAUUAACUAUAUAACCAAGCCAUACUAUGAUGUGGGAAAAGCAGGUUAGCAGGUUAAGCCUCUGCCUGUGCUGGCAGCAUCCCAUAUGGGCACUGAUUGAGUCCUGGCUACUCCACUUCCAAUCCAGCUCCCUGCUACUGGUCUGGGAAAGCAGUCAAAGAUGGCUCAAGUGCUUGGGCCCGUGCAUGCUUGUGGGAGACCUGGAAGAAGCUCCUGACUUCAGCCUGGCCCAGCCCUGGCUGUUGUAGCCAUUUAGGGAGUGAACCAGUGGAUGGGAAAAUCUCUCUCUCUCCAAUAAAUAAAUAAUUAUUAAAUAAAAAACAAACAACAGACACCUAUACCUCAUAUCAGAGUGCCUGCUAAGUUCCUGAUUCUAGCUUUCUGCUAAUGCACACCCUAGGAGGCAGCAGAUGAUGGUUUAAAGAUCUCUACCAUCCAUCUAAGAGACAUGGACUGAAUUCCUGACACUCAGGUUUGGCCUGGCCCACCCAUGGCUUUUGUGGGUAUAUGCACGUGACACACACACUCUUAUCUCUGUAAAUAUUUUUCAAAGAAAAACAAAAGUUUAUGUUGGUACAAAACAUUUGAAAUCUUCAAAAAUUUCCUGGUAAAAGAAUAUUAUCAUGAUUUCAGAAAUUUUUGCCGCCGGCGCCGCGGCUCAGUAGGCUAAUCCUCCACCUUGCGGCGCCAGCACACCAGGUUCUAGUCCCGGUUGGGGUGCCGGAUUCUGUCCUGGUU